rnacentral:rRNA from 1 species
GAUGAACGCUGGCGGCGUGCCUAAUACAUGCAAGUCGAACGAGGUGCUUUUGUAGCAAUACGAGAGUAUCCUAGUGGCGAACGGGUGAGUAACGCGUUGGUGACCUACCCCAAAGUGUGGGAUAACAGUCCGAAAGGAUUGCUAAUACCGCAUGUGGUCUUCGGAUUUAGAAACUGAUGACUAAAGGAGCAAUUCGCUUUGGGAGGGACCUGCGUCCCAUCAGCUAGUUGGUGAGGUAAUGGCUCACCAAGGCUACGACGGGUAGGGGACCUGAGAGGGUGACCCCCCACAAUGGAACUGAAACACGGUCCAUACACCUACGGGUGGCAGCAGUAGGGAAUAUUGCACAAUGGGCGAAAGCCUGAUGCAGCAACGCCGCGUGUGCGAUGAAGGCCUUCGGGUCGUAAAGCACUUUUCUGGGAGAUGAGCAAGGACAGUAUCUCAGGAAUAAGUCUCGGCUAACUACGUGCCAGCAGCCGCGGUAAU